UGCCUUCUGCAAGUUUUGAUGAGAGGAAGCAAAAAGAUCUAAUUCAUGAAUAUUACAUGACAACUGGAAAUUGACUGGGCCACCUCAGUUGCUUACCUUCAUGCAAGAAAGAAGAGCAUACCUGGAAGAACACGAGAGACAAGAAGGCCAACUCACCUAAGGCAACUGAAGACUCCGAGUACCUCAUCGAAAGACUGAGAGAAAAACAGAUGAUGACACCAAAGUAUAUUGGAACCUGAACACUCAGUCAACAGGCUCCCUUGCCUCUUGUGGAUGCUCACAGCUUGCAAACAGGUGGUGAUGUUUCUGUCUCUGGCAUACGGGAAGAAGCAGAGGCUCUCUAUAGCAAUAGGG